UGCCACCACUGUUUCUCUGCUGGU
rnacentral:piRNA from 1 species